CCAUGUCCUUUUGCCUAUUUAUUGAGAAUAGGCCAGCUUGUGUUUGGCAAGCUUUGCUUUCGUUAGACCUUCUCAUACAUCUAGCUUCUGAGUGCCAUGAGUGAGGGAAGAGCCCGGAUCGAUGAUAUCGUUCGCAAGAGACGAAUCAAUAAUUGGUUUCGAGAGGAAACCUGGCACCGCGGCGAGCCUGAGUUGCGGCCGGAGAACGACCGAGAGGCAGUUCCGCGGCUACGUGCUUUUUGCUACGGUCCAUGGCGGUCACUCCCCUGUUACGCCCGUAGACGUGCUGCGUGUCAUCAAAGAGCGAUGCGGAAGGCUGCAAGGUUUUACUUCUAUCACGGGAACUGCUGUGUGGCUCUGCCUACAUCUCUUUCUGCCGCUGGAAUUAUGGUGCCCGGUGUUCAUAUGGCCAGCUUGAGUAUCAGACAAACCUUAGUUUUGAAGGUCUACCAGAAACUGCUUGAGAACCGGAAGCAAUGAGGUUGAUUGUUGCAGGUCUGAGGGGCGAGCUCAUUGAGAUAUUGCCGUCCGAAGAUCGGUGGGUAAUUGAAGUAGCUGCAUGGCUUGCCAAUCUAACAAGGUACCUAAAUCAGUAGAAGCAGAGGUGCCGACACCACCUCUGCAGCCUUGGAAGCCAGAUUCUGACGAUGAAGGAGAAUCGCCACGACGUCCAUCAUCGCCUACCAGUAGGAAAAUGAUGGUUUUCCUUGUGAUUAUUCAUGUGAAAGAGGUCUUGGACCGUGGUCCCUUGAUGUCUGAAUUGCCAUCUAAAUAUCUUCCUGACGAAGGCGUGGAUCUAUCUCGAAUCCAUGUGUUCGACACUUGGCGUGGAAAAGUUGAUGGCAGUGGCCCUGGUGAUAAUGGAAAGGCCUAGAUCAUGUUGUAGCAAAGUUGUUAAAUAGCAGCAGUUUUUUUUCCUUUUUCAAAAAAAUUGGCAGUUGUAUGAUGUAUGGUUGUAUGCUAUCUUAUCUUGCCUAAUUAAUGAGUGUUAUCUUUGUAA